AGCAGAUGGUGGAGGGUGUUAAAAUGAGCAGCAGUGACUGCAAACCUCAAAUAACCAAACAGCAGUUGUCAUCCGUGCACCAAAUAAGGCACACCACCAGCUCAGAAUGACAUAAGGAUGUUACCAAAGCAUUUCUCUUACGAAAGCCUGGUUGUGAAAGCUUGUCUAACUGCUGUCAUAGCACGGCGGUCAGCUUUUACUUUUUGGCACAAACAUCUUUCACUUCACGAUGAAUUUCAACAAAGAUCGUCAGAAGAAGAUAAGACAGGAUGCAGCUACAAUUGACAUUAAUUUCGUCGAGGAAGCUACUUUACGCCUUUGCUACACAACGUAAUUCAUUUAUAUUAUAGCUGCAGGUCACUAACGUCAUUAAAAAACGUUUUUGCUUUGCACUCAUGUAGUACAACAUAAUAAUCUUGCUACGUUGGUUUUGUUUCCAAGCAUUAGCAUUACAGCUAAUCGGAUGGUACUUGACCACUAAUGGUUAACGCCACGGCUAAGCUAUCAUCGUUUGCUAGUAUCCACCUCAUUCAGACAGUUCUUUCACCCACGUAUUUUCUCCACAUUAUCAGUGCCCUGUCACCAACAAGCUUCACCUUCAUCUUCGUAACCUCUGAAAGAAAUAACGAGCUGGGGUGUUGGUGACUCGAAGAGACUCGGAGCAUGAGCGUGAGAUUAGCUGGCUGGUUGUCCGAGGGCGAGGGCGAGGGCUGACCUGAUCCAGAUCCGGGCCACCUGUGAGGGCUAGCCUGCCCUCCCGUCUGCCUCCCGUCCUGUCUGCAGGAAGUGGUCACCAGGCAGCGCAUUGCCACUUUUUCCACAGUCACAGGAAUGGCCCAGGGUGCAGUUACGCCACUGUUCUCCACCUACACAGGAAGUGUUUUGAAAGCACCUGUCCAGUGGUGCCACAGGGCACAUCACCUCUAUGUACUCCCAGACAAUCCCUGGUCCCUGAGCACGUUGUCGUUUCCCCUCGGGCCCAUUAUCAGAUCCCCUCUGUAGGCUCCCAGCAGCUGCAGUUAUUGUGGAAGACUCUACGUUUAUAGCCUCAUGAUGUGUGUGACACGCUGGCUUUUAUGAUGGUGGUCCAUGUGCCGUAGCGUGGUCAGUCUCCGUCCAGGUGCAGACCUUCUCCACUGAAAACCUCCAUGAGCCUGUCAAAUAAAGUAAAACCGGGGAGAUGUGUGGCCCGUGAAAGGGAUAUGCUCACCCUGCUAGUGGGCUCAGAGACGCUUCUUUGUUUCCUGGCAUGUCUCACAUACUUUCAGAGGCCAGAUAAGCCCCAGCGCCAUGAAACACCGCUUUAUGUUUGGCCUCGGUAACGUCCCAGAGAGGGCAGAGUGGACUCAGAGGAGAGACCAGUCAGUGAGCAGGUAAUAUGUUCUUUGUGUCGCACCUUAUUAAAGGGCCAGAUACAUAAUAAGAGUCCUGGUUAUGUAGUCCUUACAUAUUUUAAGUACCCACUGAAAAAUACUUCAAUAACCAAACUUCCAGUUAAAAUAUUCCUCCCUCCAACUCCUUUGCUGUCACUCAUUUUUCUUUUA